AGGUAGUAUUUAAAUUUUUAUAAAACCCAUAUAUUUUGGCGGCAUUUUACCUAUUUAGAGGAACCUGUUUUUUAAUCGAUACCCCCCGUUAAUUUUCACUUAACUCCAAUAGUUUAUAUACCGUCAUCUUUAAGUAAAUUUCAAAAUACAAUUUAAAAAAUUAAUCUAAAAAGAUAGAUCAAGGUGUAAUUUAUAGAUAAGUUAAAAUGGGUUACAUUAAAUUAAAUUUAAGGAUUUAAUUACUAAAACCAUUAAUAAAAAAGGAUUUAAAAGUAAAAAUAAAAUAAAAAUUUACUUUGAAUAAGAUAAUAAAUGUGC
rnacentral:rRNA from 1 species